rnacentral:miRNA from 1 species
UUCUUGAACUUCUUAUGCAUC